UAUUGGUCAAUGGACGAGAGUCUGAACCAGCCAAGUAGCGUGAAGGAUGACUGCCCUAUGGGUUGUAAACUUCUUUUAUAUGGGAAUAAAACAGGGUAUGCAUACCCUCUUGCAUGUACCAUAUGAAUAAGGAUCGGCUAACUCCGUGCAAGCAGCCGCGGUAAUACGGAGGAUCCGAGCGUUAUCCGGAUUUAUUGGGUUUAAAGGGAGCGUAGGUUGAUUGUUAAGUCAGUUGUGAAAGUUUGCGGCUCAACCGUAAAAUUGCAGUUGAAACUGGCAGUCUUGAGUACAGUAGAGGUGGGCGGAAUUCGUGGUGUAGCGGUGAAAUGCUUAGAUAUCACGAAGAACUCCGAUUGCGAAGGCAGCUCACUGGACUGCAACUGACACUGAUGCUCGAAAGUGUGGGUAUCAAACAGG
rnacentral:rRNA from 1 species